UUGAAAGGGAAACGAUUGAAGUCAGUCGUACCAGCGGGAAAUCAACCUUUCGAGUGGUUUUUGGAGUUUUGAAGUGUGUCAAAACCUUUGAGAUUUUAAAAUUUUCGCUCUUUUGGUGUACUUUCACGUGGGUAGGUUAACAUCGAUUUUGAUCAUCAUAAAAAGACUGGAGGAAUGUAGCUUCGAUCUUGUAUUGAAGUGUUAUAGCCUUUGGUAAAUGUGAUGAUUAGGAUCGAGGAUUGCAACGAAUACCCUUUUGGGCUAUCCGCCUGAUCUCUGAUACGUGGCCUUGGCAUCGAAAGCUGUAGGGAAUUAAGGUUUUACGCUCAAAAGGUUAGAACGGAUUACAUUCGUUAAGGAUGUUGACGUA
rnacentral:rRNA from 1 species